UUUUAUGGAGAGUUUGAUCCUGGCUCAGGAUGAACGCUGGCGGCGUGCCUAAUACAUGCAAGUCGAGCGAACGGACGAGAAGCUUGCUUCUCUGAUGUUAGCGGCGGACAGGUGAGUAACACGUGGAUAACCUACCUAUAAGACUGGGAUAACUUCGGGAAACCGGAGCUAAUACCGGAUAAUAUUUUGAACCGCAUGGUUCAAAAGUAAAAGACGGUCUUGCUGUCACUUAUAGAUGGAUCCGCGCUGCAUUAGCUAGUUGGUAAGGUAACGGCUUACCAAGGCAACGAUGCAUAGCCGACCUGAGAGGGUGAUCGGCCACACUGGAACUGAGACACGGUCCAGACUCCUACGGGAGGCAGCAGUAGGGAAUCUUCCGCAAUGGGCGAAAGCCUGACGGAGCAACGCCGCGUGAGUGAUGAAGGUCUUCGGAUCGUAAAACUCUGUUAUUAGGGAAGAACAUAUGUGUAAGUAACUGUGCACAUCUUGACGGUACCUAAUCAGAAAGCCACGGCUAACUACGUGCCAGCAGCCGCGGUAAUACGUAGGUGGCAAGCGUUAUCCGGAAUUAUUGGGCGUAAAGCGCGCGUAGGCGGUUUUUUAAGUCUGAUGUGAAAGCCCACGGCUCAACCGUGGAGGGUCAUUGGAAACUGGAAAACUUGAGUGCAGAAGAGGAAAGUGGAAUUCCAUGUGUAGCGGUGAAAUGCGCAGAGAUAUGGAGGAACACCAGUGGCGAAGGCGACUUUCUGGUCUGUAACUGACGCUGAUGUGCGAAAGCGUGGGGAUCAAACAGGAUUAGAUACCCUGGUAGUCCACGCCGUAAACGAUGAGUGCUAAGUGUUAGGGGGUUUCCGCCCCUUAGUGCUGCAGCUAACGCAUUAAGCACUCCGCCUGGGGAGUACGACCGCAAGGUUGAAACUCAAAGGAAUUGACGGGGACCCGCACAAGCGGUGGAGCAUGUGGUUUAAUUCGAAGCAACGCGAAGAACCUUACCAAAUCUUGACAUCCUUUGACAACUCUAGAGAUAGAGCCUUCCCCUUCGGGGGACAAAGUGACAGGUGGUGCAUGGUUGUCGUCAGCUCGUGUCGUGAGAUGUUGGGUUAAGUCCCGCAACGAGCGCAACCCUUAAGCUUAGUUGCCAUCAUUAAGUUGGGCACUCUAAGUUGACUGCCGGUGACAAACCGGAGGAAGGUGGGGAUGACGUCAAAUCAUCAUGCCCCUUAUGAUUUGGGCUACACACGUGCUACAAUGGACAAUACAAAGGGCAGCGAAACCGCGAGGUCAAGCAAAUCCCAUAAAGUUGUUCUCAGUUCGGAUUGUAGUCUGCAACUCGACUACAUGAAGCUGGAAUCGCUAGUAAUCGUAGAUCAGCAUGCUACGGUGAAUACGUUCCCGGGUCUUGUACACACCGCCCGUCACACCACGAGAGUUUGUAACACCCGAAGCCGGUGGAGUAACCUUUUAGGAGCUAGCCGUCGAAGGUGGGACAAAUGAUUGGGGUGAAGUCGUAACAAGGUAGCCGUAUCGGAAGGUGCGGCUGGAUCACCUCCUUUCU
rnacentral:rRNA from 1 species